rnacentral:rRNA from 1 species
GACGAACGCUGGCGGCGUGCCUAAUACAUGCAAGUCGAACGAAGCUGUUUUAACUGGUGCUUGCACCGACUUAAACAACUGAGUGGCGAACGGGUGAAUAACACGUGGGUAACCUGCCCCAAAGCGGGGGAUAACAUUUGGAAACAGAUGCUAAUACCGCAUAACCACAGAAACCACAUGGUUUCUGUGUCAAAGAUGGUUUCGGCUAUCACCUUGGGAUGGAACCGCGGCGUAUUAGCUAGUUGGUAAGGUAAUGGCUUACCAAGGCAAUGAUACGUAGCCGAACUGAGAGGUUGAUCGGCCACAUUGGGACUGAGACACGGCCCAAACUCCUACGGGAGGCAGCAGUAGGGAAUCUUCCACAAUGGACGAAAGUCUGAUGGAGCAACGCCGCGUGAGUGAAGAAGGUUUUCGGAUCGUAAAACUCUGUUGUCAGAGAAGAACGUGUGCGAGAGUAACUGUUCGUGCAGUGACGGUAUCUGGCCAGAAAGCCACGGCUAACUACGUGCCAGCAGCCGCGGUAA